rnacentral:rRNA from 1 species
UGAAAAGUGGGGGGGAGGAGCGGCGGUAAGUGGUGGGGGGGGGGCGUGAGUCGGAAUGACUGUGCGUAAUGCGGGAGCAUGGUGCGCGGUAAGACAGUUGUGAAGUACCCGGGCGUAACCGGGGAAUGGCGGGUGUGGCUGCAGUGCUCGAGGGCGGCAGAGGGGGGUGGAAGUCCACGUGUAGCAGUGAAAUGCGUAGAGAGGUGGAGGAACACCGAUGGCGAAGGCAGCCCCCUGGGUCGACACUGACGCUCAUGCACGAAAGCGUGGGGAGCAAACAGGAUUAGAUACCCCGGUAGUC